rnacentral:pre_miRNA from 1 species
UGGAAAGUUCAUUGUUCGACACCAUGGAUCUCCAGGUGGGUCAAGUUUAGAGAUACACCAACCUGGAGGACUCCAUGCUGUUGAGCUGUUCACAA